AAUCAGGUUUUCUUAAAAACCACCAAGUUAUAUAGACAAAGGAUU
rfam:Mesocestoides corti genome assembly, scaffold: MCOS_scaffold0000239